UACGAAGGGGGCUAGCGUUGCUCGGAAUCACUGGGCGUAAAGGGUGCGUAGGCGGGUCUUUAAGUCAGGGGUGAAAUCCUGGAGCUCAACUCCAGAACUGCCUUUGAUACUGAAGAUCUUGAGUUCGGGAGAGGUGAGUGGAACUGCGAGUGUAGAGGUGAAAUUCGUAGAUAUUCGCAAGAACACCAGUGGCGAAGGCGGCAUCACUGGCCCGAUACUGACCGCUGAGGCACGAAAGCGUGGGAGCAAACAGG
rnacentral:rRNA from 1 species